rnacentral:lncRNA from 1 species
CCGGCUUCCUCUCUCUGUUUCUUGUGCGUGAAUGGACAUGUGAUCACCCCGCAUCCUGCACCAUGCCAGACCCUCACUACCAUUGUGAGUCCUGCCCUUUUGGAACUGUAUGAAAAAAUGACUAAUACACUCGUGUUAAAAGCUGCCCCUUAAGUAACACAGGAAAAGAAAUUAAAGAUUGAUUUGUUUGAAACUAUAAGUCACACGACCUAUGUAGGACUCAGUCAGCAGUUACAAGGAAUCAUACAAUAAGAUCGAAUGUCAAUAAAGUUGAACAAAGAGAUGCUUAGAAACUCUUCUGAGUUGAAACGUCAUGAAUGGAAAAACUACCUAAAUAAUCGCAGUUAGCAUGGCCACGUCUGUCUCGAGAUUUCCCCUCUCUGUCAAUCAAACAAACGAACGCAAAGCCGGUGACCAAAGCAACUUAAGGAAGAAAAGUUUAAUUUAGCUCACAGUUCCACAAGGAACUGUAA